rnacentral:rRNA from 1 species
GACGAACGCUGGCGGCGUGCUUAACACAUGCAAGUCGAGCGGUAAGGCCCUUUCGGGGGUACACGAGCGGCGAACGGGUGAGUAACACGUGGGUGACCUGCCCUCAGCUCUGGGAUAAGCCUGGGAAACCGGGUCUAAUACUGGAUAUGACUCCAUGACGCAUGUUGUGGGGUGGAAAGCCUUGUGCGGCUGAGGAUGGGCCCGCGGCCUAUCAGCUUGUUGGUGGGUGAGGCCUACCAAGGCGACGACGGGUAGCCGGCCUGAGAGGGCGACCGGCCACACUGGGACUGAGACACGGCCCAGACUCCUACGGGAGGCAGCAGUGGGGAAUCUUGCGCAAUGGGCGAAAGCCUGACGCAGCGACGCCGCGUGAGGGAUGACGG